rnacentral:rRNA from 1 species
UCCUGGCUCAGAUUGAACGCUGGCGGCAUGCUUUACACAUGCAAGUCGAACGGUAACAGGGUGCUUGCACCGCUGACGAGUGGCGAACGGGUGAGUAAUAUAUCGGAACGUACCUAGUAAUGGGGGAUAACUAUCCGAAAGGAUAGCUAAUACCGCAUACGCCCUGAGGGGGAAAGAGGGGGAUCGCAAGACCUCUCGUUAUUAGAGCGGCCGAUAUCAGAUUAGCUAGUUGGUGAGGUAAAGGCUCACCAAGGCAACGAUCUGUAGCGGGUCUUAGAGGACGAUCCGCCACACUGGAACUGAGACACGGUCCAGACUCCUACGGGAGGCAGCAGUGGGGAAUCUUGGACAAUGGGCGCAAGCCUGAUCCAGCAAUGCCGCGUGCGUGAAGAAGGCCUUCGGGUUGUAAAGCGCUUUUGUUCGGGAGGAAAUCCUAGUGGCUAAUAUCCUCAUUGGGGAUGACAGUACCGGAAGAAUAAGACCGGC